AGUGGCGGACGGGUGAGUAACGCGUGGGUAACCUGCCUUACACUGGGGGAUAACAGUUGGAAACGACUGCUAAUACCGCAUAAGCGCACAGUGCUGCAUGGCACAGUGUGAAAAACUCCGGUGGUGUAAGAUGGACCCGCGUCUGAUUAGCUAGUUGGUGAGGUAACGGCUCACCAAGGCGACGAUCAGUAGCCGGCUUGAGAGAGUGAUCGGCCACAUUGGGACUGAGACACGGCCCAAACUCCUACGGAGGCAGCAGUGGGGAAUAUUGCACAAUGGGGGAAACCCUGAUGCAGCAACGCCGCGUGAGUGAAGAAGUAUUUCGGUAUGUAAAGCUCUAUCAGCAGGGAAGAUAAUGACGGUACCUGACUAAGAAGCCCCGGCUAACUACGUGCCAGCAGCCGCGGUAAUACGUAGGUGGCGAGCGUUAUCCGGAAUUAUUGGGCGUAAAGAGCGCGCAGGUGGUUGAUUAAGUCUGAUGUGAAAGCCCACGGCUUAACCGUGGAGGGUCAUUGGAAACUGGUCGACUUGAGUGCAGAAGAGGGAAGUGGAAUUCCAUGUGUAGCGGUGAAAUGCGUAGAGAUAUGGAGGAACACCAGUGGCGAAGGCGGCUUCCUGGUCUGUAACUGACACUGAGGCGCGAAAGCGUGGGGAGCAAACAGGAUUAGAUGCCCUGGUAGUCCACGCCGUAAACGAUGAGUGCUAAGUGU
rnacentral:rRNA from 1 species